CUACGGGGUGCUGCAGUGAGGAAUAUUGCACAAUGGGGGGAACCCUGAUGCAGCAACGCCGCGUGGAGGAUGACGCAUUUCGGUGUGUAAACUCCUUUUAUAUGUCAAGAAAAUGACGGUAGCAUAUGAAUAAGCACCGGCUAACUCCGUGCCAGCAGCCGCGGUAAUACGGAGGGUGCAAGCGUUACUCGGGAAUCACUGGGCGUAAAGGACGCGUAGGCGGGUUGGAAAGUCAGGUGUGAAAUCCUACAGCUUAACUGUAGAACUGCACUUGAAACUUCUAAUCUAGAGUAUGGGAGGGGGAGAUGGAAUUAGUGGUGUAGGGGUAAAAUCCGUAGAUAUCACUAGGAAUACCUAAAGCGAAGGCGAUCUCCUGGAACAUUACUGACGCUAAGGCGUGAAAGCGUGGGGAGCAAACAGGAUUAGAUACCCGCGUAGUC
rnacentral:rRNA from 1 species